rnacentral:rRNA from 1 species
UGGGGGAUUUUGGACAAUGGGGGCAACCCUGAUCCAGCAAUGCCGCGUGUGUGAAGAAGGCCUUCGGGUUGUAAAGCACUUUUGUCCGGAAAGAAAUGGCGCUGGUUAAUACCUGGCGUCGAUGACGGUACCGGAAGAAUAAGCACCGGCUAACUACGUGCCAGCAGCCGCGGUAAUACGUAGGGUGCGAGCGUUAAUCGGAAUUACUGGGCGUAAAGCGUGCGCAGGCGGUUUUGUAAGACAGGCGUGAAAUCCCCGAGCUCAACUUGGGAAUUGCGCUUGUGACUGCAAGGCUAGAGUAUGUCAGAGGGGGGUAGAAUUCCACGUGUAGCAGUGAAAUGCGUAGAGAUGUGGAGGAAUACCGAUGGCGAAAGCAGCCCCCUGGGACGUCACUGACGCUCAUGCACGAAAGCGUGGGGAGCAAACA